UUGAACGCUGGCGGCAUGCCUUACACAUGCAAGUCGAACGGCAGCACGGGGGCAACCCUGGUGGCGAGUGGCGAACGGGUGAGUAAUGCAUCGGAACGUGCCCAGUUGUGGGGGAUAACCAGUCGAAAGACUGGCUAAUACCGCAUACGACCUUCGGGUGAAAGCGGGGGACCGGCAAGGCCUCGCGCUACUGGAGCGGCCGAUGUCUGAUUAGCUAGUUGGUGAGGUAAUGGCUCACCAAGGCGACGAUCAGUAGCUG
rnacentral:rRNA from 1 species